AAAUGUGGCAAAUCUUUUUUCGUUCUGUUUUGCCUUUUUAACUGUAUUUGUAGUUUCCUAUGAUUGUUGAUCUUGAUGGUUGAUUGUUUUCAUCGAUAGAUCUAGUUCCAUUUUCACUGACGUGGUUUUCUGGAAAUCAUUUUAGAAGCAGUCACUUGAAGUUAUAUUUUUUGCCAUGUCUAAAGUUACAUUCAAAAUAACUUUGACAUCUGAUCCGAAGUUACCUUUCAAAGUGUAAGUAUUUAUUUUAUGU